GACGAACGCUGGCGGCGUGCUUAAUACAUGCAAGUCGAACGAACAGACCAGGAUCUUGCUCCUCUCACGUUAGGUGCGGACGUGUGAAUAACACGUGUAUAACCUACCUAUAAUUCUGGGAUAAUCUCGGGAAACCGGCUCUAACACCAUAUAAUAUAUUGAACCGUAUUGUUUAAUGGAGAAAUACGGUUUUACUGUCACUUCUAGAUGCAUCCCCGCGGCAUUAGAUAGUUGGUAAGGUAACGGCCUUCCAAGGCAACGAUGCGUAACCGACGUGUGAGAGGGAUCGGCCACACGGGAACUGAGACACGGACCAGACGCCUACGGGAGGCAGCAGUAGGGAAUCUUCCGCAAUGGGCGAAAGUCUGACGGAGCAAGGCCACGCGAGUGAUGAAGGUCUUCGGAUCGUAAAAAUCUGUUAUUAGGGAAGAACAAAUGUGUAAGUAAAUAUGCAGGGCUUGACGGUACCUAAUCAGAAAGCAACGGCUAACUACGUG
rnacentral:rRNA from 1 species